GCGUAGGAUGCUAUCUGGUUUUGGUGGAUGCCUUGGGUCUGAAAGUCGAUGAAGGACGCGAUUACCUGCGAUAAGCUUCGUGGAGUUGGAAAUAAACUAUGAUACGGAGAUUUCCGAAUGGGGUAACCUAACUGAGCAAACCUCAGUUGCAUUUUGAUGAAUCCAUAGUCAAAUUAGCGAGACACGGUGCGAAUUGAAACAUCUUCGUAGCAACAGGAAAAGAAAAUAAAUAAUGAUUUCGUCAGUAGUGGCGAGCGAAAGCAGU
rnacentral:rRNA from 1 species